rnacentral:lncRNA from 1 species
UUCUUUUGACUUUGCAUUUCUCACGCAUUUUUCCUUAGACUAUGGAUUUUGUCCCUACUUGGGUUUUUUCCAUAGCCUUAGGGGUUUUUAGUGAGACUUACUACUUAUGCAAGUUCCUACCUUAUUGAGAAUAAGCAUUGUUCCUUGGAAUCAGUGCCGACGAGUCGACUUCCUCAACUUCUGCAUGAUGCUGAAUCUACCUUAAGUAUUUGCACACUCAAGGGGGAAUGUUGUAAACAUUCCUAGAAUAAGUAUGAUUGUGUAAAUCCUAGAUUAGAUUUGAUUCUAGUUAUCCUUU